UGGGGAAUAUUGGACAAUGGGGGAGACCCUGAUCCAGCCAUGCCGCGUGUGUGAAGAAGGCCUUUUGGUUGUAAAGCACUUUAAGCGAGGAGGAGGCUUACCUGGUUAAUACCUGGGAUAAGUGGACGUUACUCGCAGAAUAAGCACCGGCUAACUCUGUGCCAGCAGCCGCGGUAAUACAGAGGGUGCGAGCGUUAAUCGGAUUUACUGGGCGUAAAGCGCGCGUAGGUGGUUAAUUAAGUCAAAUGUGAAAUCCCCGAGCUUAACUUGGGAAUUGCAUUCGAUACUGGUUAGCUAGAGUAUGGGAGAGGAUGGUAGAAUUCCAGGUGUAGCGGUGAAAUGCGUAGAGAUCUGGAGGAAUACCGAUGGCGAAGGCAGCCAUCUGGCCUAAUACUGACACUGAGGUGCGAAAGCAUGGGGAGCAAAACA
rnacentral:rRNA from 1 species